rnacentral:lncRNA from 1 species
CUAGUCUUGACUUGGUCUUCUUUUUCUUUUAUGGCUCUUAGCUUGUGAUAAUUUGUUGGCCUCUUGAAAAACUUGUCUUGACCUAUGGCAUUGGGGUAUGGCACCAUCAAUGGUCUCUUGGGAGACUUGUUCGACAUUUCGUCCGCAAGUCAAUUAUUCGACAUUUUGGCCAAGCUUGUAAGAAUAAUAGGCUAGUAGCACCAUCGGUGGUCUC